rnacentral:rRNA from 1 species
CGUGAAGCUGGAUUCGCUAGUAAUCGCGCAUCAGCCAUGGCGCGGUGAAUACGUUCCCGGGCCUUGUACACACCGCCCGUCAAGCCAUGAAAGCCGGGGGGUACCUGAAGUACGUAACCGCAAGGAGCGUCCUAGGGUAAAACUGGUAAUUGGGGCUAAGUCGUAACAAGGUAAC